rnacentral:rRNA from 1 species
CCUACGGGGGGCAGCAGUGGGGAAUAUUGGACAAUGGGGGGAACCCUGAUCCAGCCAUGCCGCGUGUGUGAAGAAGGCCCUCGGGUUGUAAAGCACUUUCAGUGAGGAAGAACGCCUGGUGGUUAAUACCCAUCAGGAAAGACAUCACUCACAGAAGAAGCACCGGCUAACUCCGUGCCAGCAGCCGCGGUAAUACGGAGGGUGCGAGCGUUACUCGGAAUUACUGGGCGUAAAGCGCGCGUAGGUGGCUUGAUAAGCCGGUUGUGAAAGCCCCGGGCUCAACCUGGGAACGGCAUCCGGAACUGUCAAGCUAGAGUGCAGGAGAGGAAGGUAGAAUUCCCGGUGUAGCGGUGAAAUGCGUAGAGAUCGGGAGGAAUACCAGUGGCGAAGGCGGCCUUCUGGACUGACACUGACACUGAGGUGCGAAAGCGUGGGUAGCAAACAGGAUUAGAUACCCGAGUAGUC